rnacentral:rRNA from 1 species
GAUGAACGCUGGCGGCGCGCCUAACACAUGCCAGUCGAACGGCACCCCUCCUCGGAGGGAAGCGAGUGGCGAACGGCUGAGUAACACGUGGAGAACCUGCCCCCUCCCCCGGGAUAGCCGCCCGAAAGGACGGGUAAUACCGGAUACCCCGGGGUGCCGCAUGGCACCCCGGCUAAAGCCCCGACGGGGGGGGAUGGCUCCGCGGCCCAUCAGGUAGACGGCGGGGUGACGGCCCACCGUGCCGACAACGGGUAGCCGGGUUGAGAGACCGACCGGCCAGGAUGGGACCGGGGCACGGGCCAGGAUCCCACCGGGAGGAGGCGGGGGGGAACUUGCGGAAAGGGGGGAACCCUGACGCAGCGACGCCGCGUGCGGGACGGAGGCCUUCGGGUCGUAAACCGCUUUCAGCAGGGAAGAGUCAAGACUGUACCUGCAGAAGAAGCCCCGGCUAACUACGUG